rnacentral:rRNA from 1 species
CUCAGGAUGAACGCUAGCUACAGGCUUAGCACAUGCAAGUCGAGGGGCAGCAUGACGAUAGCUUGCUAUGUGAUGGCGACCGGCGCACGGGUGAGUAACGCGUAUCCAACUUCCCCAUAGUAGAGGAUAGCCCGGCGAAAGUCGGAUUAAUACUCUAUGUUGAUUUAGAUGACAUCAGAAGAAUACCAAAGGUUUACCGCUAUAGGAUGGGGGAUGCGUCUGAUUAGGUAGUCGGCGGGGUAACGGCCCACCGAGCCAUCGAUCAGUAGGGGUUCUGAGAGGAAGGUCCCCCCACAUUGGAACUGAGACACGGUCCAAACUCCUACGGGAGGCAGCAGUGAGGAAUAUUGGUCAAUGGGCGAGAGCCUGAACCAGCCAAGUAGCCGUGCAGGAUGACGGCCCUAUGGGUUGUAAACUGCUUUUAUACGGGGAUAAAGUGAGGGACGUGUCCCUUAUUGUAGGUACCGUAUGAAUAAGGACCGGCUAAUUCCGUGCCAGCAGCUGC